UGCCCAGCAUCUCCUAUCCCUACCUCCGCGUGGUACUGGCCGGGGAAGAUCGGGUAACCAACCCCGGUGGAACUUUGGUCGUAUGCUGACAGGGAAGG
rnacentral:ribozyme from 1 species